rnacentral:tRNA from 1 species
AAUGAGAUGCCUGAAAAAAGGACUAUUUUGAUGUAAUAGAUUAAGUGUAAAUCACUCUCAUUA